CUCUCGAUGGUCUAGUUGGAUAUGACGUUCGGCUGUAAUUGGUUAAUUGUUACCGAAAGGUCACCGGCUCGAUUCCGGUUCGAGAGA
rnacentral:tRNA from 1 species